rnacentral:rRNA from 1 species
CCUACGGGGGGCAGCAGUGGGGAAUAUUGGACAAUGGGGGCAACCCUGAUCCAGCCAUGCCGCGUGUGUGAAGAAGGCCCUCGGGUUGUAAAGCACUUUCAGUGAGGAAGAACGCCUGGUGGUUAAUACCCAUCAGGAAAGACAUCACUCACAGAAGAAGCACCGGCUAACUCCGUGCCAGCAGCCGCGGUAAUACGGAGGGUGCGAGCGUUAAUCGGAAUUACUGGGCGUAAAGCGCGCGUAGGUGGCUUGAUAAGCCGGUUGUGGAAGCCCCGGGCUCAACCUGGGAACGGCAUCCGGAACUGUCAAGCUAGAGUGCAGGAGAGGAAGGUAGAAUUCCCGGUGUAGCGGUGAAAUGCGUAGAGAUCGGGAGGAAUACCAGUGGCGAAGGCGGCCUUCUGGACUGACACUGACACUGAGGUGCGAAAGCGUGGGUAGCAAACAGGAUUAGAUACCCGGGUAGUC